rnacentral:rRNA from 1 species
AGAGUUUGAUCCUGGCUCAGAACGAACGCUGGCGGCAGGCUUAACACAUGCAAGUCGAGCGCCCCGCAAGGGGAGCGGCGGACGGGUGAGUAACGCGUGGGAACCUUUCUUUCGGUACGGAAUAACCUGGGGAAACUCGGGCUAAUACCGCAUACGCCCGCAAGGGGAAAGAUUUAUCGCCGAUAGGUGGGCCCGCGUUG